UGGCAUAUUUUUCUGUUGCUGAAAAUGAAUCCAUUGGAAGACAACGCUACAAUUUUAUGCAAAAAAUGCUGUUGCCUUGUGGUCUUCCUCCAGAGA